ensembl:misc_RNA
CUGAGCUCUGAAGACGCAAUUACUCUCUCCAUAGAAGAAUUGCGAACCAUGCAAGUUUCCCCCACGCUGUGUCACCUCUGACAUGGAGAGACCUGCUCUAGGGAUGAGAAGUCUCCAUGCCCAUUCAAUCCUUGGCCUCU